GGAAGAGAGUGAGGGGGGAUCUCACAAUCCAGUGAAAAGCUGACCGAGGAGCAAGUUUUUGAUCCACUUAUUUAGUGGAAAGCACUGCACUCAAUGUCAGGAACCCAUUCCAGCCAUUCACUCUCUCAGUUUUAAGAAAUAACCUCUCUGGUUUGUCUUAUUGGGAAGCAAAUACUUUCUGAGCAUCUACAUACAUGUAUCAGGCAUCAAGUUCGCCACUGGGAAUAUUGUCAUGACGGCAGGUGAGGUCUUUCCUCUUGCAUUCUCUUGGGGAAUGACAAAAAGCAUGCAAAUGAGUGACUGGAGAAAGAAUUACAGAUUCUGGGGAGUGUUAUGGAGGAAAUCAAUAGACUGAUGUGAUGGGGGUGAGCAAAGAGGGGUAGAGAAAGGUAAACUGAGCUUCAUUUUCAUAGAAAGUCUUUCUGAGGAUUUGAGAUGAAACCUAAGGGUGAGUAGGCAUCUGCCACAUGGGGAGCUGUGUGAAGAACUCACCACACAGUGGUAACCACAAGUACCAGGUUCAUGAAUUGGUAAAGGACCUGGCUAUUCCAAGGACAGAAAGGAGGCUGGAGAAGUUGAAGUGUAAUGAGCAAAUGGGGGAGUGAAGGAGUAGGUAGUACACAAAGAGGAUGGAGAAGUAGGCAUCCAGGCGAUGGAAGACAUAGGAAGCAUUCGAAUUUUCAUAAACAUGCAAUGAUAAGCCAUUAACAGGCUCUCAGGAAGAAAACGCUAUGACAUGACUUGAAUUUUACAAUGACCGCUGGCUGCUAUGUGAAUAAUAGAUAGUUGGGAUGCAGGAAGCAGGGAAAACAACUUGGAAGCUGUUGCAGUAAUCCAUGAAAGAAAUGAUGCUGCUUUGGGCCAGGACCAUGAUAGGUGUUUGGGAAGUAAAAUAGUCUAGAAUUCCUGGAUGAGAUGUGAGGGAUAAGAGGAAG
rnacentral:lncRNA from 1 species